rnacentral:rRNA from 1 species
GAGUGAACGCUGGCGGCGUGCCUAAUACAUGCAAGUCGAACGAUGAAGCUUCUAGCUUGCUAGAAUGUGGAUUAGUGGCGCACGGGUGAGUAACGCAUAGGUUAUGUGCCUCUUAGUUUGGGAUAGCCAUUGGAAACGAUGAUUAAUACCAGAUACUCCCUACGGGGGAAAGAUUUAUCGCUAAGAGAUCAGCCUAUGUCCUAUCAGCUUGUUGGUAAGGUAAUGGCUUACCAAGGCUAUGACGGGUAUCCGGCCUGAGAGGGUGAACGGACACACUGGAACUGAGACACGGUCCAGACUCCUACGGGAGGCAGCAGUAGGGAAUAUUGCUCAAUGGGGGAAACCCUGAAGCAGCAACGCCGCGUGGAGGAUGAAGGUUUUAGGAUUGUAAACUCCUUUUGUUAGAGAAGAUAAUGACGGUAUCUAACGAAUAAGCACCGGCUAACUCCGUGCCAGCAGCCGCGGUAAUACGGAGGGUGCAAGCGUUACUCGGAAUCACUGGGCGUAAAGAGCGCGUAGGCGGGAUAGUCAGUCAGGUGUGAAAUCCUAUGGCUUAACCAUAGAACUGCAUUUGAAACUACUAUUCUAGAGUGUGGGAGAGGUAGGUGGAAUUCUUGGUGUAGGGGUAAAAUCCGUAGAGAUCAAGAGGAAUACUCAUUGCGAAGGCGACCUGCUGGAACAUUACUGACGCUGAUUGCGCGAAAGCGUGGGGAGCAAACAGGAUUAGAUACCCUGGUAGUCCACGCCCUAAACGAUGGAUGCUAGUUGUUGGAGGGCUUAGUCUCUCCAGUAAUGCAGCUAACGCAUUAAGCAUCCCGCCUGGGGAGUACGGUCGCAAGAUUAAAACUCAAAGGAAUAGACGGGGACCCGCACAAGCGGUGGAGCAUGUGGUUUAAUUCGAAGAUACACGAAGAACCUUACCUAGGCUUGACAUUGAGAGAAUCCGCUAGAAAUAGUGGAGUGUCUGGCUUGCCAGACCUUGAAAACAGGUGCUGCACGGCUGUCGUCAGCUCGUGUCGUGAGAUGUUGGGUUAAGUCCCGCAACGAGCGCAACCCCCUUUCUUAGUUGCUAACAGGUUAUGCUGAGAACUCUAAGGAUACUGCCUCCGUAAGGAGGAGGAAGGUGGGGACGACGUCAAGUCAUCAUGGCCCUUACGCCUAGGGCUACACACGUGCUACAAUGGGGUGCACAAAGAGAAGCAAUACUGCGAAGUGGAGCCAAUCUUCAAAACGCCUCUCAGUUCGGAUUGUAGGCUGCAACUCGCCUGCAUGAAGCUGGAAUCGCUAGUAAUCGCAAAUCAGCCAUGUUGCGAUGAAUACGUUCCCGGGUCUUGUACUCACCGCCCGUCACACCAUGGGAGUUGUGUUUGCCUUAAGUCAGGAUGCUAAACUAGCUACUGCCCACGGCACACACAGCGACUGGGGUGAAGUCGUAACAAGGUAACCGUAGGUGAACC